CCCGCAUAUAUAGGUAUAUAAAAUAGGUUUGCAAAUCAUACAUUUAACUGAUAAUAAAUCAUAAUUUCACCCCCCCCACACACACAUUAACAAGACUCUAUAUGAGAUCAUAAGCCACAGCUGAAGAAGCUGGGACCUAAGGAAACUCAUUGAAUACAGGAUUUAGAGAUAGAAGGGACUUCAGAGAUCAUUUAGUCCCAUCUUUCCAUUUUGUAGAUGAGAAAGUAGAGGCCUAGGAAGAUCAAGGGACUGGCUAAAUUUUAUGUAGUUAACUGACAAACAGAAUUUGAAUCCAGCUUUUGUCUCCAACUGUUUUCACUUUAAAAUAUUACUGUCUUUCUUUAUUCCAGGUACAUUUCAAGGGGAAGCUGAAGCUGGUGAAUGACAAGGAGGGUCACUGCCUGUUAAUUUUGCCACAUGGACACCUUUUCACAUCUGAGUCUUCAUUCUAAUCCCACUGACUUUUCCUUGCUCCAGAUCCUCAUUACCACAAAGUUAUUUAAACGUUGUCUGCCUCAGUUUCCUUAACUGCAAAAUGGGGAUAACUGCAUCUACAUCCCAGGGUUGUUGGGAAUAUAAAAUAAGCUAAUGAAGUUCUGAGCACAAUAGUGAGUGGUUCACAGUGGGUACUUAAAUAAUCAUUCCCUUCAUUCGGAAUCCUCAUCUAUAAAAUUGGGGUGCCGGACUCCAGCUCUGAUGUGGAGUAUGAUCUGUCUCCUUUCACUUCCGCCCCAGCCCCCGUGCAGCACAGUGCUCUGUAGCCAGCUGGUGCAUAAACAUCGCCGGGCUGGGUUGGGAGGAGCACUUCCAGCCCCCUUCACCGUCAGCAUCCCGAGCACCUGUGAUGCUGCUGCAGGCAGGCGAGGGAUGCUAAAGAAGAUGUAGGUGGUCAGGUCCUUCCCGCUCCUUCCUCCCCACCUCUGACUCUGGCCCUGCUGUAGGAUUUUUAUUUUGUUUUGCAGAUGAUUAUACCUUAGAGAUAAGAGCGCUUUCCAAAUACACUCCUAAUAAGGCGAAGGUUGAUUGUACGUAAAUGGGAGCUGCCGGCGUGAUCAUGCAGGAAGCCUGCGGAGUCUGGACCUUGACUGGCGACUGAGUCCGGAUUUGAGAGGGCCGGUCCCGGGAGCGGGGCAGGGAUGGACACUCCCCACUCCUCCCCAAAGACCAGGGAUCAGGAGGUUAACACGCAGCACUUAUCAGCUCAACACUGCUCUCAGCUUCAUCUAAAAGCAAUUACAGAAAGGG